CCCCAAUAGCUAGCCCACCCUUAAAAAACAACAACCCCCAUUAAUACCCCCAAAAUUUCAAGCCCUACAAAAACAAACCAUUUUUCCCCCCAAGUAUGUGAGACAAAAAAGGACCUAUGGCGCAAUAGAAAAAGUACCGCAAGGGAAAGCUGAAAGAGAAAUGAAAUAACCCAGUAAAGGAGAGAAAAGCAGAGUUUAUACCUCGUACCUUUUGCAUCAUGAAUUAGCCAGAACCCCUCAAGCAAAGAGACCUUUAUGUUUGAUACCCCGAAACUAAGCGAGCUACUCCGAGACAACCUAAUAUAGGGUGAACCCGUCUCUGUGGCAAAAGAGUGGGAAGAGCUCUGAGUAGAGGUGAUAGACCUACCGAGCUUAGUUAUAGCUGGUUGCCUGAGAUUUGAAUAGAAGUUCAACCUUUUGACUUUUUUAAUCAACUAGGGAGCCCCCUUGCCAGAACAAAAGAACGACAAAAGAGCUAUUCAAGAGAGGGACAGCUCUCUUGAAGAAAGAUACAACUUUAAUAGACGGCUAAAGAUCAAAAGACUUAAGGAGCCAUACCCAGGUGGGCCUAAAAGCAGCCACCCUAAUCAAAAGCGUUAAAGCUCAAGUAUAUACUCCCCUAAAAUCCCGACAACACUAUCUUAAGCCCCUUUAUAUAUCAGGCCCUCCCAUGCACACAUGGGAGAGAUACUGCUAACAUGAGUAAUAAGAGAGCCAAGACUCUCUCUAAACCCCCGUGUAAAUCAGAACGAACUAACACUGAAAAUUAACGCCCCCAAAACAGAGGGUAUUGAGAUAAGCCCCUUAAAACUAGAAGCCCCCUCAAAAAUUAGCGUUAACCCCACACAGGUGUGUUUUACGAAAGACAAAAAGAAAAAGAAGGAACUCGGCAAACCAUGGCCUCGCCUGUUUACCAAAAACAUCGCCUCUUGCCCCUCGAGUAUAAGAGGUCCCGCCUGCCCUGUGACGAAAGUUUAACGGCCGCGGUAUUUUGACCGUGCGAAGGUAGCGUAAUCACUUGUCUUUUAAAUAAGGACCAGUAUGAAUGGCAUAACGAGGGCUAAGCUGUCUCCUUUUUCUAGUCAAUGAAAUUGAUCUGCCCGUGCAGAAGCGGACAUAUAUACAUAAGACGAGAAGACCCUAUGGAGCUUCAGACACCAGGACAGCCUACGUUAAACCCCCUAAAUAAACAGGAAUGAACCAAAUAGUCCCUGCCCGCAUGUCUUUGGUUGGGGCGACCGCGGAGUAAAAAGAAACCCCCACGUGGAAAGGGCACACCCCUGAGGCCAGAGCCACAGCUCAAGCAAACAGAAUAUCUGACCUACAAGAUCCGGCAAUGCCGAUCAACGGACCCAGUUACCCUAGGGAUAACAGCGCAAUCCCCUUUUAGAGCCCAUAUCGACAAGGGGGUUUACGACCUCGAUGUUGGAUCAGGACUUCCUAAUGGUGCAGCCGCUAUUAAGGGUUCGUUUGUUCAACGAUUAAAGUCCUACGUGAUCUGAGUUCAGACCGGAGAAAUCCAGGUCAGUUUCUAUCUAUGAGUACACUCUUUUCUAGUACGAAAGGACCGAAGAGAGGGGGCCCAUGCUUUAAGUAUGCCCUGCCCCCACCUAAUGACCCCCACUAAAAGGGGUAAAGGGGGGUACACCCUCUGCCUGAGAAAAAGGCAA
rnacentral:rRNA from 1 species